ACGGACGUUAGAAGUUCCGUUAAU
rnacentral:snRNA from 1 species